AUUGAACGCUGGCGGCAGGCCUAACACAUGCAAGUCGAACGAGUGGCGGACGGGUGAGUAAUGUCUGGGAAACUGCCCGAUGGAGGGGGAUAACUCCUGGAAACGGUAGCUAAUACCGCAUACCAUCGGAUGUGCCCAGAUGGGAUUAGCUAGUAGGUGGGGUAACGGCUCACCUAGGCGACGAUCCCUACCUGGUCUGAGAGGAUGACCGGCCACACUGGAACUGAGACACGGUCCAGACUCCUACGGGAGGCAGCAGUAGGGAAUAUUGGACAAUGGGCGCAAGUCUGAUGCAGCAAUGCCGCGUGUAUGAAGAAGGCCUUCGGGUUGUAAAGUACUUUCAGCGGGGAGGCGUUACUCGAAGAAGAAGCAACGGCUAACUACGUGCCAGCAGCCGCGGUAAUAC
rnacentral:rRNA from 1 species